GAUGAACGCUAGCGGCAGGCUUAAUACAUGCAAGUCGAACGGUAACAGGUCUUCGGACGCUGACGAGUGGCGCACGGGUGAGGAACACGUACACAAUCUACCUUAUACUGGAGAAUAGCCCCGGGAAACUGGGAUUAAUACUCCAUAGUUUUUAAUGAUCACAUGAGAAAUAAAGUAAAGCUUCGGCGGUAUAAGAUGAGUGUGCGUCCCAUUAGAUUGUUGGUGAGGUAACGGCUCACCAAGUCGACGAUGGGUAGCUGGCGUGAGAGCGCGACCAGCCACACUGGCACUGAGACACGGGCCAGACUCCUACGGGAGGCAGCAGUAGGGAAUAUUGGUCAAUGGACGAAAGUCUGAACCAGCCAUGCCGCGUGGAGGAUGGACUGCCCUCUGGGUUGUAAACUCCUUUUAUAUGGGAAGAAACCUCUGGAUUCACUCCAGAGCUGACGGUAUCAUAUGAAUAAGC
rnacentral:rRNA from 1 species